CCUACGGGUGGCAGCAGUGGGGAAUAUUGCACAAUGGGCGAAACCCUGAUGCAGCAACGCCGCGUGCGUGAAGAAGUAUUUCUGUAUGUAAAGCUCUAUCAGCAGGGAAGAAAAUGACAGUACCUGACUAAGCAUCCCCGUCUAAAUACGUGCCAGCAGCCGCGGUAACACGACGGGGGCAGGCGUUAUCCGGAUGUACUGGGUGUAAAGGGAGCGUAGACGGCUGCGCAAGUCAGAAGUGAAAGCCCGGGGCUCAACAGCGGGACUGCUUUUGAAACUGUAUAGCUAGCGUGCAGGAGAGGAGAGUGGAAUUUCUAGUGUAGCGGUGAAAUGCGCAGAUAUUAGGAGGAACACCGG
rnacentral:rRNA from 1 species